GUCCCCUUCGUCUAGAGGCCCAGGACAACACCCUCUCACGGUGUGAACACGGGUUCGAAUCCCGUAGGGGACGCCA
rnacentral:tRNA from 1 species